UCACACAAGUAUAGUUUGAUCUACGUAAUCACCAAGCUUGGGUUGCUAUUCGUUUACGACUUGGAGACGGCUACUACAGUUUAAAGAAAUAGAAUUAGUCCAGAUCCAAUUUUCCUAACAUCAAAGGCUUCGUCACUAGGGGGAUUUUACGCAAUUAACAGUUGAACAAUUUGGAGCUUGCUGUCAAUCUAGCAAAAAGAGGAAAUCUUCCCGGUGCUGAGAAUCUGCGAUUCCAAGAACUGUUUGCGCAAACAAAGUAUAAAGAAGCUGCUGAACUUGCUGCUGAGUCUCCACAAGGAAUUCUUCCUACUUCUAAUACAAGUGCCAAAUUUUAGAGUGUUCCUGUACAAACUGGGCAAAUACCACUCGUUUUGCAGUAUUUUGGUACUCUCUUGACCAGAGGAAAGCUUAAUGCUUUCGAGUCAUUGGAACUAUCAUGUCUCGUUGUGAACCAGAACAUGAAGAAUUUUUUGGAAAAUUGGCUAGCAGAAGACAAAUUAGAAUGCAGUGAGGAGCUAGGAGAUCUUGUGAAGACCGUGGACAACGACCUUGCAUUGAAAAUCUAUAUCAAAGCCAGAGCAACUCCAAAAGUUGUUGCUGCUUUUGCUGAGCGAAGAGAGUUUAAUAAAAUUCUAAUUUACUCAAAGCAUAUUGUAUCAAGAGAUUGAUUAGCAAUUUAUGUAUCACAUGCAAUAUAUAUCUCACAAGCUGAGAUUUCUAGUGACACCUUAUUUAUGAUUUUCCCCUUUCCCUCUUCAGCACCUCAAACCCUUAUUUUUGGAAGUGUUGGUGCAUGCGUCCAUGGUCACUUAAUUUUGUUUAUUUUGUAGAUGUGACAAGCGAAAUAGAAAAGGAUACUUCAUUUUGAA